rnacentral:rRNA from 1 species
UACGGGGGAUGCAAGCGUUAUCCGGAUUUAUUGGGUUUAAAGGGUGCAUAGGCUGUGAGGUAAGUCAGCGGUGAAAUGCCCCCGCUCAACGGGGUGAAGUGCCAUUGAUACUGCCUUGCUGGAAUGCGGAUGCCGUGGGAGGAAUGUGUGGUGUAGCGGUGAAAUGCAUAGAUAUCACACAGAACACCGAUUGCGAAGGCAUCUCACGAAUCCGCGAUUGACGCUGAUGCACGAAAGCGUGGGUAUCAAACAGG